GUGAGCGGGAGGCCAGGGCACGGCAGGGGGAGCUGCAGGGUGGUCGGAGGGUCCCCAGCGUCGAGCCUGUC
ensembl:miRNA